UAGGGUGGGUAUGGCAUCUGUGUGGGAUAAGGGGUGAAGCUAGGGUAAUCCGAUGUACCUCCCAUCGAAUACCCGGGAUUUUGUGAGAAGUGUGGGUAGUGGGGUGGCUGAACAAAUCCCGAGGCCUGAGUGCCUCCUUGGGAUUCUCCCAUUCCCUCUUCUGACAUGCUAACUCCCAAACUGCCAUCCCUCCUCUGCUCUACAUCCAUAUCAUCCCCCAUGCCUUCUAACAUUCCUCCCU
rnacentral:lncRNA from 1 species